AACAGCUCAAAAAUUAUAAUUCUAAAAUCAAAUAACUAAGUAUUCCACUAUUUUUACAGCCAGCAAAUAAUACACAAAAGUUUUAAAAAUUUUAGAGUUCUAUAUAUUCAAAACUGAAACUCCGUCAUCAUACAACAUAUAAUUUACAAUGGAUACACUGAACUAUAUGAAGCUAAGGAGUCGAGUUGUGCCAUUGAGUCCUGCUAAGAGGAGGGCUGAGAAAAGGAAGAGCCACUUCGUAUCUCCAAAGGGGGUUCAAGCAAGUAAGAAGCUUAAAGGUAACAAGGCUACCGGAAAAUUGACGUUAAGUGAGGAAGACAGUGAUGGUGAUGUGAUCUUUGUGUCCAAUUCUCGAGAUCCCUUAGAGUAUAUAGACCUGACUGUGUCCAGUCAGUCCCUUAGAUAUCUAGACCUGACUGGACGUGCAGACCAAUAUUAAAAUUCCAAUUUGAUUUCUCAAUUUAGUUACGGGGAAUUUGCAUUGUUUGUUGAAGGUAUAAUCAUAUUAGGAAGUUCGAUAUUUUUAAUGAGGAAAGUUUUAAAAGGAAAAACAAUUAGAAUCUAAAAUACGCAACAGCUGGAGUGCGGCGUUUAGGCCGAGAAAUUAUAUUACCAUUGUGAGGAACAUGGACUGAAUGCUUUGCAGCUCAUAGAGCAAGAACUCGAAUCAAUAGCCUAGCAGUAUUUUGUCAGCUUUCCAAUGAAUAUUUGUCAUUCAAAUUGUUAAGCUUUAUAUUUGCCAAAUAUCAUUUAAAUCGAUUUUGUAUUUAUUCGAAGACAGCUGAAAUUUGCUUUGAGUCAAUCUAUUUUAUUUGCAUCUGGCCUCGAUGGCGCCAUCUUGCGGUUAGUGGCGGCAGCCAUUCAGUAUUGUGUGCACCUUUUGCGUCAAGCUGCGUCCCCUGCUCCUCCUAAAACCCGCCGCACUGCCGCCCCGACACAUCGGCUCGACAGAUAAAAACUGGAAAACAGAAAGCACAAAACGCUGCCACAAGCCGCAAACAUGCUGAAAAAAAAGAGCCACUGGACAUUGGUGCGUUGCGGCCGGUCGAGCAGAGCAGCGAGGGAGCACAAAAAGGGGGCGGCGUUGCAAGUUCUAAGCACGUGUCAAGUGUGGGCCAAACUUUUAAUUUGCACAACGUCCCGGUCAGGGCAGCCAGCCCAGAGCCUGACUGACGCUGAGUGACUGUCAGGCUUGUUAGUCCCUUUAUAGCCCGGGGUACGCCUUGCUGUCUGACAAUGUCAUCAGUUGCAGCUGACGCAGCAGCAGCAUCAGUAGCAGCAGCACCAACAGUGAUACUGCCUCGAACACAGACCAAUGCCACGGCUACUCUUGCUCCUGGCCCUGCACAGUAGCUAUAGCAAUAGCAGUAGCAGUAGCACUAACAGAAGCUGUGGCAGUUGCAGUUGCAGUUGUUCUUCUCCUCUUUUUUCGUAUGUGUUUCGAAUGUGCUGUCCCAGCAGGGUGUUUGAGGCUACUGCUCCAAUAACAAUCCCUAUGCAACAGGCUAUAUAGACGACAGUAAAAGAAUUUUCAAUUAU